UACGAAGGGUGCAAACGUUGCUCGGAAUUAUUGGGCGUAAAGGGUGCGUAGGCGGCGCGGUAAGUCGGAUGUGAAAUCUCGGGGCUUAACUCCGAAACUGCAUUCGAUACUACCGUGCUUGAGGACUGGAGAGGAGACAGGAAUUUACGGUGUAGCGGUGAAAUGCGUAGAUAUCGUAAGGAAGACCAGUGGCGAAGGCGGGUCUCUGGACAGUUCCUGACGCUGAGGCACGAAGGCCAGGGGAGCAAACGGG
rnacentral:rRNA from 1 species